AAGCGGAUCUCUUAAAGCCGUUCUCAGUUCGGACUGUAGGCUGCAACUCGCCUACACGAAGCUGGAAUCGCUAGUAAUCGCGGAUCAGCACGCCGCGGUGAAUACGUUCCCGGGCCUUGUACACACCGCCCGUCACACCAUGAGAGUCUGUAACACCCAAAGCCGGUGGGAUAACCUUUAUAGGAGUCAGCCGUCUAAGGUAGGACAGAUGAUUAGGGUGAAGUCGUAACAAGGUACC
rnacentral:rRNA from 1 species